rnacentral:rRNA from 1 species
UACGUAGGGUGCGAGCGUUGUCCGGAAUCACUGGGCGUAAAGCGCACGUAGGCGGAUUUGUCAGUCAGGGGUGAAAUCCCGGGGCUCAACCUCGGAACUGCCUUUGAUACAGCAAGUCUUGAGUUCGAGAGAGGUGGGUGGAAUUCCUGGUGUAGCGGUGAAAUGCGCAGAUAUCAGGAAGAACACCCGUGGCUAAGGCGGCUCUCUAGUACGGUACUGACGCUGAGACGCGAAAGCGUGGGGAGCGAACAGG